GUUGCGCUGUGAAUGAAAUGGACAUGCAUUGGUUUGUCUAUAUAUAUGGUUUUGAUCCAGAAUCUGAUUUGUCUCUUUCUCAUCAACAGCUAAACAAAAAAAGAGGUCCAUACUCAUAACCGCAUGCUUGACAUAAUGGUAUUUCCCAACUUUUUCUGCUUCUUCUGGCUCAGAGAGAUGCAGCCAUUGUUUCUCAACAUUUUGCAAUGUAGCAGGGUGUUUGAGACCAAAAAUAAGCUGAAGAAUGCUGACACAUGAUCCCAAUCCAUGAUAUUUUCAUUAUAUCUCUCUUUGCUCUUAUUAUCCUCCCAAUUGAAGGCCAAAUAUUAGUAUGAAAGUUUCAUUUGAUGGAUUUUAAACUGCUUUUACUCCUUCGAUGAAUAAGGGAAAUUAAUUGAUGCUA